UACGUAGGGGGCAAGCGUUGUCCGGAUUUAUUGGGCGUAAAGAGCGUGUAGGCGGCCAGGUAGGUCUGCUGUGAAAACUCGAGGCUUAACCUCGAGCUGUCGGCGGAAACCAUCUGGCUAGAGUCCGGAAGAGGAGAAUGGAGUUCCCGGUGUAGCGGUGAAAUGCGCAGAUAUCGGGAAGAACACCCGUGGCGAAGGCGGUUCUCUGGGACGGUACUGACGCUGAGACGCGAAAGCGUGGGGAGCGAACAGG
rnacentral:rRNA from 1 species